rnacentral:pre_miRNA from 1 species
AGGGGUUUCUUUCGGCCUCCAGCAGCAUUUGACCGUUGUAGGCCGGCGGAAACUACUUGC